rnacentral:lncRNA from 1 species
CUCUGGGAAUAAUAGUAUAGAGUUCGUCUUCAUUGUUUGACCAUGGGGGGUCCCCUGACUGAACUACUGUUCCCACCUUCUGUUUACCCUUAUUUCACACGUUCCUGCUUUAUUACCUUGCAAUUUUAUUAGCGUAAGGCAUGAAUAUUGUAACCGGGGCCCAUACAUGCUAAGAGUAAGCUUAGAUAAGUCCCGUUUGUCCAUUUCCCGACUCGACAGAAUGUCAACAUUCCGAUCGCCGCCAUUUACAUCACUAUGUUUAUUGACGUCAGUGACCUAAUGACCUGAGAUCAGCAUCCAAUCAGCAUAACGUAAUUUGCCCACGAUCUCCAUAGGGGCACGAGACGUUGGUGGGACAGAGAUAUAAAAGCAAGUGCACAACAGUCUUCAGAUAGACUGCGUCCCGCUACCAGGGCAGUCACUCCUGAUACCAAGGAACUUACCAAGGCAAACCAAAAGUGCCGCAGUCGAUGCAAUGCAUGUACCUUGCUAGUGUAUGCAUCCCGUUGAAUAAAUGGACCAAACCAUAAUUGACCUAGAUGUUUUACUACGUUUACUACGAUGUUGACAAACGAUUAACGUACCGAAAAGGGGGGUC